GGCGAACGCUGGCGGCGUGCCUAAUACAUGCAAGUCGAGCGAGACUCUUCGGAGUCUAGCGGCGGACGGGUGAGUAACGCGUGGGCAACCUGCCUGUAAGACUGGGAUAACACCGGGAAACCGGUGCUAAUACCGGAUAAUCCUUUUCCUCUCAUGAGGAAAAGCUGAAAGUCGGUUUCGGCUGACACUUACAGAUGGGCCCGCGGCGCAUUAGCUAGUUGGUGAGGUAACGGCUCACCAAGGCGACGAUGCGUAGCCGACCUGAGAGGGUGAUCGGCCACACUGGGACUGAGACACGGCCCAGACUCCUACGGGAGGCAGCAGUAGGGAAUCUUCCACAAUGGACGAAAGUCUGAUGGAGCAACGCCGCGUGAGCGAUGAAGGCCUUCGGGUCGUAAAGCUCUGUUGUUAGGGAAGAACAAGUACCGGAGUAACUGCCGGUACCUUGACGGUACCUAACCAGAAAGCCACGGCUAACAACGUGCCAGCAGCCGCAGUAACAC
rnacentral:rRNA from 1 species